UGACGGAUGUGGAUCGGACGGGUUUUAUUCGCAAGCCAAACAUUCCUCCCGCUGUGCCAACCUCACCUGUGGGGUCCCUAGGGCUCAAUACUGGGUUCCAUCCUGUUCUCCAUCUACAUGCUCUCCCUCAGCCAAGUCAUUCAUCGCCUUAAAAUUUCCUUUCAUUUCUACACUGAUGAUACUAAAUCUAUCUUCCACUCAAGACAGACGAUCCCUCUGGACUGGACCAUUUGAAGGACUGCUUGCAGGACAUAAAAGAGUGGAUGUCAAAAUUUCCUGCAGCUCAAUGACAGAGUGAAAUUCUUCUGUUCGGGAACUCCAACCCCCCAACUGUGCACAAUAGCCAAGAUCAAGUCUGUCCUCUCCCCCAGUGACUUAGAGGGUCGUGUUCAUGCUCAUCUUCUGCAGACUGGACUAAUGGAAUGCCCUCUAUGCUGGGGUCACUAACAAGACCAUAUAUAGCAUGCAGUUGGUACAAAAUGCUGGUGACAGGCACAAAAAUGAGGGAACACAUUUCUCCCAUCCUCUCCUCCCUUCACUGGCUCCUGGUGAAGCACAGAGUGAAAUUUAAGAUCCUUACGUAUGUCUUCAAAGCGCUCCGUGGUCUUGCCCCAGCUUACAUCAAACAUCUCCUGGACCAACCUAUCAGCUCCAGGCUUGGUCGUUGCCUCAGAUCUGACAACCAGAUGACCUUGAAGGUCCCACAGUCAAACCUAGUGACAAAGAGAGACUGUGCAUUGUCAAUGAUGGUACCUGGCCUAUGGAAUAAGCUCCCCCUGAAAGUCAAGUCCGCCACCACUCUGGACACUUUUAGAGCACAGCUUAAAACUCACCUCUUUGCCGCAAAUGACUUGAUUUGUGUUCAUGUGUCUUAAAUGUUUGUUCUAAA